rnacentral:rRNA from 1 species
GAUGAACGCUGGCGGCGUGCCUAAUACAUGCAAGUCGAGCGAACGGACGAGAAGCUUGCUUUUCUGAUGUUAGCGGCGGACGGGUGAGUAACACGUGGACAACCUACCUAUAAGACUGGGAUAACUUCGGGAAACCGGAGCUAAUACCGGAUAAUAUUUUGAACCGCAUGGUUCAAAAGUGAAAGACGGUCUUGCUGUCACUUAUAGAUGGAUCCGCGCUGCAUUAGCUAGUUGGUAAGGUAACGGCUUACCAAGGCAACGAUGCAUAGCCGACCUGAGAGGGUGAUCGGCCACACUGGAACUGAGACACGGUCCAGACUCCUACGGGAGGCAGCAGUAGGGAAUCUUCCGCAAUGGGCGAAAGCCUGACGGAGCAACGCCGCGUGAGUGAUGAAGGUCUUCGGAUCGUAAAACUCUGUUAUUAGGGAAGAACAUAUGUGUAAGUAACUGUGCACAUCUUGACGGUACCUAAUCAGAAAGCCACGGCUAACUACGUG